ACACACUGUGAUACUUGAAAUGUGACAUUUAUAUGAAAUCAGCCUUCACAACAAACAACUUCUGAUUUAUUAAAGAAUGCACAUUAGAAGUAACUCAUUACUAAUGUGUGAAAAAUCUGAUUUAUCCUAUGUCUAUCAGGAAUCUUUAUAUCUAAAAAUCAGCGUUCACAAUACAUAGUUAAAGAAAUAUCACAAUAGUUCUUAAAUGUACAUAAAGAAAUAUCACAAAUUUCAGACAUUAUUAGAUACAACUUCUGGACAGAAAAUAUCAAUAAAAAGAAAAAUAAUCUUACCAACACAUAGUUUAAUUAGCGUUACUGAUAGAAAAAUAUCAUUAUAAAAAAUCAGCCAUCACAACACAAUCACAACACACUGUGAUACUUGAAAUGUGACAUUUAUAGAAAUCAGCCUUCAUAACAAACAACUUCUGAUUUAUUAAAGAAUGCACAUAGUUAAAGAAAUAUCACAACAGUUCUUAAAUGUACAUAAAGAAAUAUCAACAAAUUUCAGACAUUAUUAGAUACAACUUCUGGACAGAAAAUAUCAAUAAAAAGAAAAAUAAUCUUACCAACAUCCCGUUUAAUUAGCGUUACUGAUAGAAAAAUAUUAUUAUAAAAAAUUAGCCAUCACAACACAAUUACAACACACUGUGAUACUUGAAAUGUGACAUUUAUAUGAAAUCAGCCUUCACAACAAACAACUUCUGAUUUAUUAAAGAAUGCACAUAGUUAAAGAAAUAUCACAACAGUGCAUUCUCUUUGGUAAAAUGUCUAUCAUCAAUCUUCUGAUUUAUUAAAGUUCAUUUUAUGGUAAAGAUCAUAUUUUUAAGCAAAAAAAGUAAGAAAUGUAGAAUAAAUAUAUGAUACUUAAAAUGUCUAUCAUCAAUCUUCUGAUUUAUUCAAGUGCAUUCUAUGGUAAAGAUCAUAUUU
rnacentral:lncRNA from 1 species